GGCAGCAGGGCACCGCCGCGCGCCCGCGCCCGCCCCGCUUAAAUGCUGCGCUCGCUGCUCGCCGGCUGCCUUUGUCCGCACGCAGGUAAGAAGAGCCCACCUGCUGAGGACACAGUAGUGCUAACACAUAUGAAGAUACUGAGCAAUGAAGGGAUUCAAAAUCCAGGGUUAAUACCCGAGCCUCCAGCUGACACAGACUGCACAGAAAAAUCCCAUCUUUCUGGUGUCAACCUCCCGCCAGACUGCCAGGGAAACCUGAAUGCAGUGGCCGCACCAGCAAAUCCAGAUUAUGCAGAUACCCCAGUGAGCACAGACUAUGUAGCCACACUGCCUGACCUCAGCACCUUUGAGUCCAAGUGCCAUUUUCACAGAUUCUCCAAAUUUGAAUCCGAGGACUCAGGGGUUGAACUGCCCAGUGGUGCUAAUUCUCCAUCAACGCCAACAGGUUCAGAAAAGAGCUUUGUGCUUCACGGCAGAGAUUCAUUUUGUGACUCCGGGGUGCUUAGCACCUCUUCUUCUCCAGAAAUUGACCAUCUGAUAAUGAGAACAUGUAAAGAGCGGGCCAGAAAAGGUAGCCACCAUGGCCCAGAGAGUGAAAAGCAAACUGAGUACUACAGCCAAGAGGUAGAUGCUGUGCAGGUUCCUACAGCUUCCCUUGAAGACUUCGGUGUCCCUCAGGAAAGAGAAAGUCCCAAACAACAUUUUGACCAAAGCAAAAGGCAACCUCUGGAAAAGCAACCUACCCAAGAGACAGACCUUCCCAGGGAAGACGCACUUCCUACCCCAGCUCCUGUUGAAGAGCCAAAGACAAUUGCUGACCACUACCCAGAGACCUUUGGCAGCACGCAAGACCUUCAGAUCCACGAACAUCAGCUGAAGAAGUACCCCACAAGUGACAGUCUGGAUGAAUACAUGGAUGAAUGCUGUAGACUGAGUGAGGUGAACCAAGGGAACAGCAAAGCCCUGGGAUCUGGCCUGGGAUAUCUGGAACACAUUUGCCAACUGAUUGAGAAGAUUGGGCAGCUACAGGAGCACAACCUGCGGCUCCAAAAGCAAGUGUGCAGCUUGCAGAAAGAGCAGAAGAUGAGCCACAUAAAGGAGGAGUACCUUCUGCAGCACUGCUCCUGUGGAGCUGCCAACAUCUUCCUCAACUCGUACCAAGAGGUGAAGACAUUUUUUGCUGGGAGAAGCAGACCUCACAGCCUCUUGGUUCAGACUGGAAACCCUUCAGAUCUCUCCAUCAUCCCAGAAAUAGGAGCGAACACUGAAAAGCUGAGCAGCUGCAGUGGAAAUGAGAGAUACCCGGAAUCAGGAAACAGCCAGCUGAUGAUAGGGCUCAGGAAGUCAUCGAACAAUAGGAGCAACAAGGAGAAUGAGUUCAGAGAAGCCUGUGGUGUGGCUGAGGGACAAGCUUUUCCACCAAAGGACCCUGCAGUAAGAAAGGGUCUGGACAUCAGUAAGAACAUCUCGGGUGAAAGCCAUGCUUGGGGAAGAAUGAGAGAUCUUAUGAGGAAGACACGGCUGAGAAACCAGAGCAAGCUGGGGCUGUCCUCUGCUGCUCUGAAGAGGUCCUGCCCACAACUGUACAGGCCAGAUAUUAUGUCUUCGGAGCUGAGGAAAACUGAGAGGAACUCUAUGAUUGUUCUGGGGCAAAAUACAAAGAAUGAAAACAUAUGGCCUUUCUGAUAACCCAAGUCAAAUGGAACAAGAAAGGAAAGCGCAGGAACACCAAUGGACACAGAACUGAAAAUGCCARGUUUACUUUGUGCAACCUGCAUCCUACAUCUGUCAACAAGGCAACUGAUUUGGUGUUGAAAGAGAAAGAGGGAGCAGGGAGGUUGAAAGAGGUUUGUGGAAAGAUGUGCGCUCAGCUAUGCAUGGCUUCACUCCCAACUCUGAAGUAUACUUACAAAACCAAACCACGUGAAAACUAUAGUCAGUGUUUCAGCAACAUAACCAAUAGGGCCUUUUAAAUAAGAUUUGGUAAAACUUUCUCUGCUCUGGGUUUGGAACAGAACUACCUGAAGUACUAAAGCUUUUAAAUUAUCAUUGCUUUCUGGGGAUCUUCUCCAGCUGACUUACAGGAGAGAGCAGUACCUGGAGAAGUGACAGAGACCUUGUCUGGGGGCAGCAAUAGUUGAGGGGGAGAACAGCUUCCUCCCUCUAAGGAGGUUUGAGUUGCAGUCUCUGCUCACACCUACAGCAGCUCCUGCCCUUAGAGCUGCACCCAGCCAAUGGUGCAGGCUUGGUGGCAUCCAACAGAAGAACAAGUCUAUGAGGCAMAGAUACCCUAAGAGGCCAUUCCCAAAUCCACCCUUCACUUCCAAUUCUGCAAGGGUGCUUCUGCUGUGAAGGCCCCUUGACUUCAGUACUGCCCCAUGCAAAAAUUGUCUUCAGUGCAGGCUCAUUGCAGCAAGCAGAACAAGGGACACCAUGGGAAUCAUUGAGAGACCUGAGCGUGCAUCGAAGACCGUACCCAGCUCUCUGGCAGGCUGCCCUGUUAAUCUUUCAGGGGACCAAGUUUGAAUUCCCAGUUAAGUUACAAGUUAAGGACCCCUGGAGGCUGCAGUGGCCAUCUGAUGGUGUGUGCUGGACCUGCGUUUCUUCUGCUGGGAAAGAGCACAGGGGAGAGCAAGGCUGAAAGGAGGAGUUAUUCAGCCAUAUGCAUGCUUUAAAGGCUGCUUCUCUUCCCUCUUAAGGGCUGAUCUUUUGGGCCUUAGCUUCUUCAUAACACUAGGGCCAUGUUUGGUGACUGCCUUAUUGCCCUGUGUAAUUUCAGACUCAGGCUACAAGCAGCAUAUGCUUCUAGAGGUCCCAUGGCUGCUUUGGUCUCUGCGCACCAGCUCUUAUUGGUACUAGCAUUCACACCCAUGAGUAAGAAUUUAGACAAACCAUCUUUGCCUUUUGUUAGAAGACUAUUCURCCCACUAAACUAUGAUUUGUGUUUAAAAAAAAAAGUCAAGUAACCACAGUUCAACACCCCCGCUCCCCACCCCUUCUUACUCACUUGGGAAUGGAGAUUUGAGAAGCCAGCAGGAGCAGGCCAGCUUUAGCAGGCUCAGCUUUUGAGUGAUAGAUGCCUCCCCUAUGCUCACCCAGAUCAGCUGGAGCCCCUGAAGUCCACAUACCAGGAGAGCMGAAUCUGAGAUUCAGAAUAUCCCAGUGCAGGAAGGUUGGUUUGAUCUCAGUCCCAGCAACAAGGAACAGCGUGAGGUGAAAGAGCUACUAUUGACUGGAACAACAGGCCACACUACCAGCAUGGCUGUAGUUUGUGGGGGUGAUUGGAGGCAGCCCAGGCCUGUUUCUCCAACUGCUCAGAACACUUUCAGGGAAGUCCAGUAUGGCUGUUAACAUCUCAAGAAAAAAAGUUUGUGCUGACUCAGAGUUACACCUUGAUGCAGGUGYUGUGUUCAGUAUUUCAGCUGUCAUUAGUUUUAGCUGCUGCAAGAUUCAAAUAUUCACUGUAUAUCUUGCUAGCUUYAUCAAAAGCUAGAGAGAUUUAUAACUUGAUUAUUCUGUGAAUAGUCAGCAUAUCUCUAUGAAUACAGAGGGGCUAAAAUCCUACAUUAUCUUACACCUUCCAUUAUCCCUCCAGCUUUACAGAGACUGUAAGGAAUGUGAAUCAGUGCAGAACUGGACUUAAAGUCUUGUAAGAGAUAUCAUAAACUGGUAUUUUUAUAACUACAUUCCUCUUGUAUAGGUUUUUAAACUAGAAUGAACUAGCAUUUUUUUAAUACAGCAUUAUAUGAAAUAUAUUCAUGUAUUUCCAGAARUGUAUUUAUAACAUGUAACAUACUGUAUAGUUCUCCACUCCAGGAUGCAUUGUAAUACAAGCAUAAAAUUUAAUAAAAAGCAUCACUAUUAUGAAAUAAAUUUGCUU
ensembl:lncRNA uncharacterized LOC112980235